rnacentral:lncRNA from 1 species
UUGGGGAUGUUAAGGAGGAUACCCGUCGUCGGUUAAGAUGAACAUAUCAAGGAUAAACCGCCUGAACAAAGUAGGAAUUACAUCUAUGAAUGCUGGAUAGAAUACCAAAAAGAGAAUAUUCGUCACCGGUUAGGAUGAACAUAUCAAGGAUAAACUCAGAGGGGAAAAUAGAAAUUAUAUAUAUCAAUUACUGGAUAGA